UACGAAGGGUGCAAGCGUUACUCGGAAUUACUGGGCGUAAAGCGUGCGUAGGUGGUUUGUUAAGUCUGUUGUGAAAGCCCCGGGCUCAACCUGGGAAUGGCAAUGGAUACUGGCAAGCUAGAGUGCGGUAGAGGGUAGUGGAAUUCCGGUGUAGCGGUGAAAUGCGUAGAGAUCGGGAGGAACACCAGUGGCGAAGGCGGCUACCUGGACCAGCACUGACACUGAGGCACGAAAGCGUGGGGAGCAAACAGG
rnacentral:rRNA from 1 species